CUGGUGUCGAGUAUUAAUAAAAGUGUUUAUUCGUCAAGAAGCAUGUGCAGAAUUCAAGUACUACAGAUCUUUUCAUCCGUGGAACAAUGUUUGGUACACCAGGAUACCUGAGCGACAAGGCUCUACCCCUUGUAGAACAGUUUAAGAAUUGCGAAUAGUAUGAUGAAAUAACCUAAAAGAUAUCUAAGGAGAUGAAAGGAAAUAUUUUGUGAUAAAUGUGAUCAGUCAGUUUUAAAGCAGAAUUUAGAAACAGAAUUUGGAGAGAAACGAAAAAGAAAGAUUAAUGAAGCAGACUGCCACAAAUAGACUGGUGAAAAAAGAAAAAUAUAGUUUAUAAGAGUAGAAUGGAUAACGGCAAUAUGCAUUUCGAUCUCACAAUUGUAACGGAGGCAUGAAAAUUAAACGAGAUAUUUUUUCAGUUC